rnacentral:rRNA from 1 species
GACAGAGGGUGCAAACGUUGUUCGGAUUUACUGGGCGUAAAGCGCGUGUAGGCGGCUUUGCAAGUCGGAUGUGAAAGCCCACGGCUCAACCGUGGAAGUGCAUCCGAAACUGCAUGGCUCGAGUCUCGGAGAGGAGGGUGGAAUGCUUGGUGUAGAGGUGAAAUUCGUAGAUAUCAAGCAGAACACCUGCGGCGAAGGCGGCCUUCUGGACGAUGACUGACGCUGAGACGCGAAAGCGUGGGGAGCAAACAGG